GACGAACGCUGGCGGCGUGCUUAACACAUGCAAGUCGAACGGAAAGGCCCUGCUUUUGUGUCUCGCUCGAGUGGCGCACGGGUGAGUAAAACGUGAGUAACCUGCCCUUGACUUUGUGAUAACUUCAGGAAACUCGGGCUCAUAUCGCAUAGGAGCUUUUGCUGCAUGUUGGUGGUAGGAAAGUUUCGGCGGUUGGGGAUGGUCUCGCGGCUUCUCAGCUUGUUUGUGGAGUUGUGGCUUACCAAGGCUUUGACGGGUAGCCGGCCUGAGAGGGUGGCCGGCCACAUUGGGACUGAGAUACGGCCCAGACUCCUACGGGAGGCAGCAGUGGGGAGUAUUGCGCAAUAGGCGGAAGCCUGAUGCAGCAACGCCGCGUGCGGAAUGACGGCCUUCGGGUUGUAAACCGCUUUCGCCGGUGACGAGGCGUGAGUGACGGUAAUGGGUAAAGAAGCACCGGCUAACUACGUG
rnacentral:rRNA from 1 species